rnacentral:lncRNA from 1 species
UGAAAAUUCUUUGUUGAAUUUCAUUCUUGUAGUAGUUUAGGGGAAAAUUUUAUUUUAGGGUUUUUCUUUUCUUGUUGAAUUAAACCCUAAUUCUCUCCCCCUUCUUAAUUAUAUCUCAUUUCAUUCUAAAAAAAUUCAAUGUAGGUUGGUGGCAAUUUAUCCUCUUUGGAACGACACAUUGAAGACCCUGUUUCAUGGAACGAACUUAUUUCAAACUUGCAACUUGUCAUCAACGUUGGUAAGUAUUGAAUUCACACUUGAUUUUCUUGUAUAUAUGUUAGUUUAAUUCACACUUCUCAUCUAAUCAUAUUAAGAGUUGGUUUGCAUUACUUUGAUGAUAGUUCAACAAUUUAAACAUGCAUUUAUUAAUUUUGUAUUGUAUAUAAGAAUAAUUUUGGUGCCCCUACAAAAAUGGGGUCUUGGGCCAGCGUCCGACUCAACCUUGUCUAGCGUUUCCCUUGUGAGGAAUCAUAGAUAGUUGAAUACUAUUCGAAAUAGUGGCGAAUCUCAAGAAAAAAGUAGUCAUUUGAAUGUGUUUUAUUUUUUGGCCAGUGUUGUGUUAGAAUAUGUUUGAAUUAAUUUAACAUUUCUAUACGUCUGCUUGUAGACCUUUUACCUUUCGCUAUAAAAGGCAUGACUCCGUCUAGUUUCAAGUGAUCACAUCACUAUUUCAAUUUAGCGUAGAAUCUAGUCUUUGUUGCUCAUUAUUAUUUUAUUAAAGCCUUGAUAAUCCUUUGUAUAUUUGGAUAUUGAUGUAGUUGCACAUGGUC